GACAAAUUAUGCAGGCGUCACAAGGAGUAUUCACAAGGGCAUAGCCGAAGAACAGACACCAAGACAAUACAUAACUCUUGAACAUACUAAGCACCUCUGCAAAAAAAAAAAAAAAAACUGUAUUUGUAGGAUGUUCAGUUUGUAAUCUUUUAUUGGCCGGCAUGGAACAUGUGGCUGCGGAAUUUAAGUUUGCUCC